UAGAAAUUCAAAGACAUCAAAGUGGAUCAAAAGAUUCCCUCGUUAAACCACCGCUUCUUGAUAUCCACAAAGGCAAACCACUCAAACUUUUGGUUCGAGUUUUGGUCCCUGUUAAAGAUCAUCCAAAUUUCAAUUUUGUCGGCAAACUUUUGGGACCAAAAGGUAACUCUCUCAAGAGGUUACAAGAA